ACGGCUCAGUAACACGUGGCCAACCUGCCCUUGGGACGGGAACACCCCCGGGAAACUGGGGUUAAUUCCCGAUAGGUGAAGAAGUCUGGAAUGAAUCUUCGCUCAAAAGACGUUUAUGUCAUGCUCAUAUUCGUCGCCCAGGGAUGGGGCCGCGACCGAUCAGGUAGUUGGUGAGGCAAUGGCUCACCAAGCCUUUUACCGGUGCGGGCCGUGAGAGCGGGAGCCCGGAGAUGGGCACUGAGACAAGGGCCCAGGCCCCACGGGGCGCAGCAGUCGCGAAAACUUUGCAAUACACGAAAGUGUGACAGGGCUAUCCCGAGUGCCAUCCGCUGAGGAAGGCUUUUACCCAGUAUAAAUAGCUGGGAGAAUGAGGAGAGGGCAAGUCUGGUGUCAGCCGCCGCGGUAAUACCAGCUCUCCGAGUAGUGUGGACGUUUAUUGGGCCUAAAGCAUCCGUAGCUUGCUAGAUAAGUCCUCUGUUAAAUCCACCGAUUCAAUCGUUGGAUUGCGGGGGAUACUGUUUGGCUAGGGGACGGGAGAGGUCGACGGUAUUUCCGGGGUAGGGGUGAAAUCCUAUAAUCCCGGGAGGACCACCAGUGGCGAAGGCUGUCGACUAGAACGCGCCCGACGGUGAGGGAUGAAAGCUGGGGGAGCGAACCGGAUUAGAUACCCGGGUAGUCCCAGCUGUAAACGAUGCAGGCUAGGUGUUUGGGCGGCCACGAGCCGCCCUAGUGCCGCAGGGAAGCUGUUAAGCCUGCCGC
rnacentral:rRNA from 1 species